UGGGAAACAAUCCCAUGGAUGUGGCGCAAGCUGAACAAAGAG
ncrna:unclassified sequences eL15-Euryarchaeota ribosomal protein leader